UGAGUUCCAUUAUUCGGGACUAUGUAGCCACCGGCUGACCACAGACAAAUCCAGCAAGUAUCAGCCCAGCUGGCCCAGACCAGAAGAAUCACCCAGCUGACCCACAAAUUGGAUACGAUACUAUCUCUAUGACCCCUUGUGGCUGCGUCUCCCAGGCAUGGGAGCAAAAGUGGACCAGUCCUGAUUUUCUCUUCAUCAUACCUACAGGGAAUGGUCUGGCCUGCCGGUCACCGAUGACCAAGCUGAAAAUAACUCUUGCUUUCCGUCCGCCUGCUCUCCUUGAAGCCUCUUUCGUAAGCCAAAGCCUGGAGAGAGAGAGAACCUGAGCACACGGAAGGGGAGCAGCAAAAGGAGAGAGAGAAGCAGGCUCCCAGUCAAGCAGAGAGCCUGAUGUGGGGCUUGAUCCCAGGACCCUGGGAUCAUGAUCUGAGCUGAAGGCAGAUGCUUAACCCACUGAGCCCCUGUGGAGCCCCCCAGCACUACUCUUGUUGCCAUUUUACAGGUGAGGAAACUGAGGCUCGGAGGAUUUGUGUCUCUUGCCCAAGGUCAGGGCCAGGACUGGAAUCAAAAGCCCGGCUGCCACCGGGGCCCACACACCAGCUCGUGUGGGUCGUAGAACGUUUAUGAGAAUUCAGAGGUGUCCUUUCCUCUGGGAAGGCAUAGCCCACGCCAGGCACAGAGCUUGGCAAACAGCACAGCUGAACAUCAGCCCCUGGAUGCCCCGAGGCCAGACCCCUCUGUGUGGUGACAACCCACGCAGCCACAUAGCUGCCUCCUUGUCUGUUCCCUCUUCAUCCAAGGGCUGAUGGGUGGGCUCUUUGGGGGGAAGAUGGAAAAGGUGGUAAGAAACAGAUGUGGGGCUGCACCCAGCACAGCCUCCUUCUAAGCUCCGUGGGGGUUGCUGUCUCCAAAGACGACAAAGAGGAGGACCAGGAGGAGGGGGCCUCCUGUUGGGGUCGCCAGGUGAACCUACCAGCUUUCUAGGAAGGGCUAACUCAGUAUCACCUUUUCAAGCGGGCUUGGCGAACAUUUUCUGAAAAAGGCCAGAGAGGAAAUGUGUCCCACUUUGCCAGGCGUGUGGUGUCUGUUGCAGCUGCUCAGUGGCUCUGGUGGCCCUUGAACAGCUGUAGACAAGAUGUACACGGAUGGGCGUGCUCUGUCUCAAUAAAACUUUAUUUGUAAAAACCGGCAGUGGCCUCUGUUGGCCCCUGUCCUAGGGCAUUUUCCCUUCCCUUGCCUCCCCUGGGACACUGGCCAAGGAGACAGGGGCUCCCUGAUGAACUUUAAGGCAGAAUAGACCCUGCCCCAACCCUUCUCAUCAAGAGAGAACAGUUUUAAAGGGAGGCCGGGCUCAUCUGUUGAGCAGCGAGCCCUCAGAAUGGCAGCCAGAGGGGUCUGGCCUUGGGGCAUCAGUGUGGUAUGGACCACAACCAAGGCCUGCUGCUGACGUCAUCUAGUUAAAUCCUCGGGACACUCCUGCAUCCUAGUCCCCAGAGAUGGAGCCGUGAACAGCCUUGGUGCCCCAGCCUCCAUACCUGACACGGGGAGGGGGGCUGUGUGGGAGGCUCAUGCAUCGUCACAGAGUGAGGGCCGGUCUGACAGCAGUAAGCAGGCACACAAGUCCACCCUCCCCUACCCCUUUCCAAACUGAUGCUUUUAAAUCCAGGGUUGCAAACCCAGCGCCUAGAAGGGCUCGGGGGGAAGACAAGACUGAAGUCGGCUGCUAUAAAAUAAUCUGGAGUUAUGGGCAGCCUGCCCUUAAGACUCACCAGGCCAGAGCGCUUGUGCCAACAAAGCCCACACACCGUGUCCAAGUGUGCAAAAGCUAUAAACCAGCUAAUGAAGGGCUGAAUAAAAUCUAUGUUAUUCUUCGCUCUUGAUAACUAUGCCUUCACAACAACUAGAAGGAUUUGGAUAUAGAUUUCUUGGACUUUAUUAAGGUUAAUUUUAUGUGUUACUUUGACUAAGCUAUGGUGGCCUAGUUGUUUGGGCAAGCAGCAGUUUUGAUGUUGCUGUGAACCUUUUGUAGAUGUGCCUAACAUUCAAAUCGGUAGACUUUGAAUAAAGCAGAUUGCCCUCUAGACUGUGGGUGGGCCUCGUCUAAUCAGUUGAAGGCUACGAGGACAAGAACUCAGGUAGACUCUUCCCAGAAAAUGCUGAAAUCCUCCAGACUGCAGCCUAGAAACCUUGCCUGAGUGCCAGCCUGCUGCCCUGCGGAAUUUGGAGUUAAGAUUACAA